rnacentral:rRNA from 1 species
AUCGAACGCUGGCGGCAGGCCUAACACAUGCAAGUCGAGCGGAUGAAGGGAGCUUGCUCCUGGAUUCAGCGGCGGACGGGUGAGUAAUGCCUAGGAAUCUGCUUGGUAGUGGUGGAUAACGUCUGGAAACGGGCGCUAAUACCGCAUACGUCCUGAGGGUGAAAGUGGGGGAUCUUCGGACCUCACGCUAUCAGAUGAGCCUAGGCCGGAUUAACUAGUUGGUGGGGUAACUGCCUACCAAGGCGACGAUCCGUAACUGGUCUGACGGGAUGAUCAGUCACAGUGGAGCUGAGACGCGAUCCAGGCACCGACGGGAGGCAGCAGUGGGGAAUGUUGGAAGAUGUGCGAAAGACUGAACCAGCCAUGCAGCGUGGGUGAAGAAGGGCUGCGGGUGGUAAGCACGUUAAGUUGUGAGGAAGGGCAGUAGGUUAAUACCUUGCUGUUUUGACGUUACCGGCAGAAUAAGCACCGGCUAACUUCGUG